GUGGGGAAUUUUGGACAAUGGGGGCAACCCUGAUCCAGCCAUGCCGCGUGCGGGAAGAAGGCCUUCGGGUUGUAAACCGCUUUUGUCAGGGAAGAAAUCCUUUGGGUUAAUACCUCGGAGGGAUGACGGUACCUGAAGAAUAAGCACCGGCUAACUACGUGCCAGCAGCCGCGGUAAUACGUAGGGUGCGAGCGUUAAUCGGAAUUACUGGGCGUAAAGCGUGCGCAGGCGGUUUUGUAAGAUCGGUGUGAAAUCCCCGGGCUCAACCUGGGAACUGCAUUGGUGACUGCAAGGCUGGAGUGCGGCAGAGGGGGAUGUAAUUCCGCGUGUAGCAGUGAAAUGCGUAGAUAUGCGGAGGAACACCGAUGGCGAAGGCAAUCCCCUGGGCCUGCACUGACGCUCAUGCACGAAAGCGUGGGGAGCAAACAGGAUUAGAAACCCGGGUAGUCC
rnacentral:rRNA from 1 species